rnacentral:rRNA from 1 species
AUUGAACGCUGGCGGCAGGCCUAACACAUGCAAGUCGAGCGGCAGCGGGAAGUAGCUUGCUACUUUGCCGGCGAGCGGCGGACGGGUGAGUAAUGUCUGGGAAACUGCCUGAUGGAGGGGGAUAACUACUGGAAACGGUAGCUAAUACCGCAUAACGUCGCAAGACCAAAGAGGGGGACCUUCGGGCCUCUUGCCAUCAGAUGUGCCCAGAUGGGAUUAGCUAGUAGGUGGGGUAACGGCUCACCUAGGCGACGAUCCCUAGCUGGUCUGAGAGGAUGACCAGCCACACUGGAACUGAGACACGGUCCAGACUCCUACGGGAGGCAGCAGUGGGGAAUAUUGCACAAUGGGCGCAAGCCUGAUGCAGCCAUGCCGCGUGUAUGAAGAAGGCCUUCGGGUUGUAAAGUACUUUCAGCGGGGAGGAAAGUGUUGAGGUUAAUAACCUCAGCAAUUGACGUUACCCGCAGAAGAAGCACCGGCUAACUCCGUGCCAGCAGCCGCCGUAA